AGAUUGAACGCUGGCGGCAUGCCUUACACAUGCAAGUCGAACGGCAGCACGGGAGCAAUCCUGGUGGCGAGUGGCGAACGGGUGAGUAAUACAUCGGAACGUGCCCAAUCGUGGGGGAUAACGCAGCGAAAGCUGUGCUAAUACCGCAUAAGAUCUACGGAUGAAAGCAGGGGAUCGCAAGACCUUGCGCGAAUGGAGCGGCCGAUGGCAGAUUAAGUAGUUGGUGAGGUAAAGGCUCGACCAAGCCUUCGAUCUGUAGCUGGUCUGAGAGGACGUACGAGUCGACACUGGAACUGAGACACGGUCCAGACUCCUACGGGAGCAGCGAGUGGGGAAUGUUGGACAAGUGGGACGAAAGCCUGACUCCAGCCAUCGCCGCGUGUGUGAAGAAGGUCUUCGGAUUAGUAAAGCUAACGUUUAAGCGUUAGGGAAGGUAAGGUUGUAAACGUUAA
rnacentral:rRNA from 1 species